AUUGAACGCUGGCGGAAUGCUUUACACAUGCAAGUCGAACGGCAGCACGGGGGCAACCCUGGUGGCGAGUGGCGAACGGGUGAGUAAUACAUCGGAACGUGCCCAGUCGUGGGGGAUAACGUAGCGAAGGUUACGCUAAUACCGCAUACGAUCUACGGAUGAAAGCGGGGGAUCGCAAGACCUCGAGCGAUUGGAGCGGCCGAUGUCAGAUUAGGUAGUUGGUGGGGUAAAGGCCUACCAAGCCGACGAUCUGUAGCUGGUCUGAGAGGACGACCAGCCACACUGGGACUGAGACACGGCCCAGACUCCUACGGGAGGCAGCAGUGGGGAAUUUUGGACAAUGGGCGCAAGCCUGAUCCAGCCAUUCCGCGUGCAGGAUGAAGGCCUUCGGGUUGUAAACUGCUUUUGUACGGAGCGAAAAGGCUCUCUCUAAUACAGGGGGCUCAUGACGGUACCGUAAGAAUAAGCACCGGCUAACUACGUGCCAGCAGCCGCAGUAAGAC
rnacentral:rRNA from 1 species